rnacentral:rRNA from 1 species
AUUGAACGCUGGCGGCAGGCUUAACACAUGCAAGUCGAGCGAGCGGCGGACGGGUGAGUAAUGUCUGGGAAACUGCCUGAUGGAGGGGGAUAACUACUGGAAACGGUAGCUAAUACCGCAUACCAUCAGAUGUGCCCAGAUGGGAUUAGCUAGUAGGUGGGGUAAUGGCUCACCUAGGCGACGAUCCCUAGCUGGUCUGAGAGGAUGACCGGCCACACUGGAACGGAGACACGGUCAAGAGUCCUACGGGAGGCAGCAGUGGGGAAUAUUGCACAAUGGGCGCAAGCCUGAUGCAGCCAUGCCGCGUGUGUGAAGAAGGCCUGCGGGUUGUAAAGUACUUUCAGCGAGGAGGCGUUACUCGCAGAAGAAGCACCGGCUAACUCCGUGCCAGCAGCCGCGGUAAUUC